CCCAAAGUGACUCAGUGGUAAAGGACCUGCCUGUCAAGUAGGAGAUGCAGGUUCGAUCCCUGGGUUGGGA
rnacentral:tRNA from 1 species